AAUGCAAGUGAUGAUAAAACAGACAGGGACAUCAGCACUCCUCUGGGGCAUGAUGACUUGUUCUUUGGGAAUCCCUCUGAAGCAUG
rfam:Nelumbo nucifera unplaced genomic scaffold scaffold00020, whole genome shotgun sequence